rnacentral:rRNA from 1 species
AUACGGAGGAUCCGAGCGUUAUCCGGAUUUAUUGGGUUUCAAGGGUGCGCAGGCGGCCAUUUAAGUCAGCGGUUAAAUCGUGGGGCUCAACCCCAUUCUGCCGUUGAUACUGGGUGGCUUGAUUGCGGUCGAGGUUGGCGGAAUUCGUUGUGUAGCGGUGAAAUGCAUAGAUAUGACGAAGAACACCGAUUGCGUAGGCAGCUGACCAGACCGCAAAUGACGCUCAUGCACGAAAGUGCGGGGAUCGAACAGGAUUAGAUACCCUGGUAGUCCGCACAGUAAACGAUGAAUACUUGUUUUCGGCGAUAUAAUGUCGGAGGUAAAGCGAAAGCGAUAAGUAUUCCACCUGGGGAGUACGCCGGCAACGGUGAAACUCAAAGGAAUCGACGGGG